AUGAAUUGUCUAUCGUGGAACUGUCGAGGCGCGGCCAACAAACCGACAGUUCAUGACAUGGUGGGCCUCGUGAGGACCGCCAAGGUUCGUUUGGUCUUCUUGUGUGAAACUAGACAAAAAGCUAAUAAAGUUCGUCGGCUUCGUGGUAGAUUGGGUUUGAGAGGUUUUGCUGGUUGUGAUAGUGCUGGCCUUAGUGGUGGUCUAGCUCUCUUUUGGUGUGAG
rnacentral:rRNA from 1 species